ACCUAGGUUUAAAGCGAGAAAGAAACAGUCAGCAGAAUCUCCUCACCAGAGCUGACGGAAGCCAUUCGACAGGAGGGUUGGCCCCGACACGUCAAGGAAUCCGUGUGCCGGCAGGACUCGCCCCGGCUUCCCGCGGCUCUCUGUCCUGAGGAGCCCUGUGGGAAACCCCGCCCUCAGAGCGAGGGAGGCGGUACCCGGCACUUUCCAGGCUUUGCCCCUCGCCCCGAUGGCCACGAGAGGGCGCUGCGAUCACUCAGAGCACGUAAGGCGCGAAGAGACAAGUGGCAAACGCGCUAUCGCGGUCUGAGCACUAGCGGGUGAAUUCGAGCUCGCUCCAGCCUGUGCUGCCGGCUCACUAGCUAACCGGGGCGAUGGGACAAAGCAUGCGGGGAAACGCUUGUGGCCUCCCGAGGGCGUCACUUAGGAACACGGCUCCUAGGGACGAGUUGGAGCUGCCAAUGCCGUCCCAGGGAUCGCGUGAGCUUCCCACCUUAACUGCAGGCGCCACCCCAAGGCAGUUUUCUAAUUAGUCCCAAACUUCACCUCAUGAAGUCAGCACACUUUCACCAACACGUCAGCCUUUCCCACGAAGCUCGCUGACAUUUACUGCUCCAAACGGCCUCCGUGCCACUGAGCACGUCCGCCUCUGGAGCUCUGCUUUGACUUUGUGGCUGCCUGGGGCUCAGUCGCACAUUACGAACUGUCGAGGAGCAGAUUAGAAGUUCGAUCUUCCUGUCUCCAGUCCAGCAUUCUACCUACUUCGUCUGCACGGGAUGCGCACUACUCAAUUCUUUACUAGCAGCAUUUUGGAGGGCCAAAUGGGUGAUUUUAUUGGCAUUUUACCCGCUUAUCAGUGUAGCUGGGUCAUUCCUCAAACGUUUGGAGUCUUACUGGGGGCACUGAGAGGCAGCCAGCAUCGCGGUCUCUAGAACAGAACAUGCACCGCAGUUCACUCAUGGCAAAUGCCUCGUUAACUAGCGGGAACCUGACUUUUCUGUGACAAAAUCUUGUUUCGUCCUCAUUUUGGGCUUUUCCUAAUGGUAGGGAUUUUCUCCUAAUUUCAACACAGGAGAGCUUUAGUCUUCCAUAAUCCGGAACCAGAAGGCAAGAUAAAAAGAAAACAAGGAAUUCAGAGACCAGCUAAAAUGGCCCAACUGGUUCCAGAGAACUCAGGACUAGGAAUGCUCCUCUACCUCCGGAAACAGAGAGGAUGGACUCCGGCCGGGGACGAGGCACCGCCACUUUUCUGCACGCUGGCAAAGAGGGAAUUUGUUUUGUCUGGUCAGACACACUUGCUGUGGAGAGGGAGGCUUUCUGAAGCUGCUGCCAGCGCUGAGAUUCUGCGACAUCGAGAGGUCGGGCUUGGCCACUGGAUAGAAGUCAUGAGGGAAGUGAGUGUGCCAUUCAGUGUGGCUCAGAGGUCUAGACUCAACUGUAAACUCAGGAAAGCAUCCUCUGGGCUACGAGGAUCUGUGUCCAGAGCAGCACCACCACAAACAAUAUCCGGGACUAGAAGAAGUCUGUGACUCCUGAUCUAUGUUAGGGAUGGGAAGAGCCAGAACCAGAUUCAACUGUGCAAGUGUUUGUUACGCAGCCUCUGCCCAACAGGUCACUGCGGAUCUAGCGGAUCAAAAGGCACCAUUUUGGGGGGUUCUUUACCUGGCCUAGCAGUGACUUCUUUUAACCCAAGUGGCAUAAACCAUACACAACUGAUGAGACAGUGAAGUAUGCUUUGACUUGAGGUAGUUCUAAGGGAACAUACAAGGGCAGCAAAACCCAUCUUGUUCCGUGUUAAACAAAGGAACCAAGACUGAGAGAGGUUCCUGUUCUAGAUAAAGAACUUGUGACUUUAGGCAAUUGCUUAACUUCUUGGCCCAUGAUUCUAGUCGCGCUGGUCAUAAGAAAGUGGAUCACUGAAUGUUUUAGGUACAGCAAGGCUCAAGCCUCAUCACUGAGUUUAUAUCACACAUUAGCAACAGAAAGGAGGAAAAUGGGUAAGAGGGCAUCAACUACAUUUAUAGACCCGGGGUUAAAGCUUUGAAAGGAUGCAAUAGAAUGGAGUUUUCUUUUGAAACUGCAACCUGUUUUCAGGGAUCAGGCACUGGGAAGUUUGUUCAGUCCAAUAGAUGAGACUGAAACCAGCAGCCCACAGGACAUGGAAUGAGGGUGCGGCUGGGGAGGGAGGAAGCCUCACGCAGAUGAAAUGCUGCCGUUUGUAACCUUGCCAGGGACGGGGAACCCUCCGACUGGGUACCAGGAUAAAAUGAUGUCCCUAAGAUUUUACCGCAGCAAAGGGGAUAAGAACAAGCUUAAAGCACUCUGUUCAUUGUUGGUUUUCUGUCAAGGGGGCCUCGGGAUCAGGUUUUUGUUCACACAGAACUUCAGUACUCGGCUACAAACAAUCAACAACUCUAUCCAGUGGCUCAUCAGAGAUCCCUGCACGCGGGCUCUGCCAGAGCCCCAUAAUGUUAAAUGGGGGUCAUUCACGGAAUUGUGUGGCUAGGACAAUAGCGCGAUGGUUCCUGGUGAUCCCAUGACUGCUCACAUUUUCAUUCCGCAGGCCUCCUGUUGUCACCACAGCAAUGGGGCGGUGAUGCACCCGGGAACUUCUGGACUCCUUCAUAAGGCCGCUGGCUCCCGUUCUGGGCUGCUCUAGAGUCCAGGUAGGCCGAAGAAGGGCUCUCCCCGGCACGUCAGUCCCUCACUAAGGCUGGCGCUGCAGCUGGAGCUCCGAGAUGCGCACGCUAACCAGCACUGCUGCUUUGCAAGCCGCUCCGGCUCUGCGGCGGGCCUUCUGUGAACAGACACGGAUCGGGGCAGCGCGGCCCCAGGGAAGGUGCACAGCAUACACGGGCCCUCCAGCCCUGGCGUACGUUUGGGACCAACGGAAAACAAGAAUGGAGGGCCUGUACCGGCUGGUGCCGCAGCCACCAAGGCCAGCCCUGCUGGUCGGCAGCAGACCCUGCGGAUCCCCGAGCCGGCACAUGACAUUCUCCGCGAGGCCGCACUCAUUAGCGCGCCUGCAACGCCACCGAAGUGGAGAAGCGAAGCUGGUCGCUUUCGGACGCAGUAGAAGCGUCUGCAAGGCUCGCCAUCAGGACGGACGGCCCAAGUGUGAGGAAAGCAGCAGGAGGCGGGCAUGCUCAGGGGAUCGGCUGGGUCCGCAGCUACCUUGUGGAGGAGGGGAAAAGCUACUCUGAAGUCCCUCCCCAGCCCCGGGGCUCCUCCCACCUGGAGCCGUUAAAGGCGAGCCGUUCCCUCGGGCACACACUGUCUUUGUCCGGUCUCUGCCUCACCAGGCUCCGCCCCUCCCGGACAGGCUCCUUUCCCGCUGCUGUAUUCAAAGGAAGCACCUUCUGUUGCUGCUGCUAAGGAUGGCUUACUUGGACUCAAAUGGGGGCAAUAAAGGGCCCAGGAAGUGGACCAUGAAGAGGCACCUUCAGACACACAUCUCCGUCCCCAGUGGCUCCAAAGGCCGGCAUCAAACGCCUCCCGCUGUCGGUCCCUUUGACUUCUCUCCGCCCGAAAAGGUGGCACAACGCAGGCCACUGGAGCAAUGCGGCCCCUGCUCCGGGGAGGGCUUCUUCGCACCUUUCGCUUCUACGCCACACGACCAACUUCUUCCUGCUUGUCUCCAAAUGCUGAUGACACCUCAGAGUCUUCCGAAAGGGAAGAUGCAGAUGCGAUGCUUAUUAAGGGGAUGAGCUUCUCAUCGGAUUUCAUUCAGUUCUGCCACCUCCUUGACCAGGAGCCCCUUCAGAUCUAAAAUAGAGACCUUCCAGAUCCAGAAUUCGAGUCCUGCCAACAGUAGUGCCCCCCAGACCAUGCGCCCAUUUCUAGCCAGACCUCAGCCAUCAGCCAGAAAACCUGUGAAGACACAACCUGUCAACUACUUUUUCAAAGGUUCCCGGUUCUACUUCCUGAGCCGCCAUAACUUCUUAAGAUCCAGGAAAAGAAAGUUCUCCACACCGAAGUCUUUAGCACUGUUAGAUGGUUCAACCACAGAAAUGGAUACCAUCAAAGAAACGGCACCCUGCUAAGGAUAAUGAGACCUUUGGGCCUGAUUUGUGGGUGAAAGCUCCCAUUCGAAUGGGAGCUCCUGGAGGGAAGGCACUUUCUUGCUUAGGUAUGUAUCCCUAGGACUUACCUGAGUAUAUUCAUAUGUUUAAUAAACACCUUAAAUGAAUGCAA